ACAACUAAUCAACUACAUAUAAAAAGUAUAAUCUCCAAAGUACCAUGGCUUUCUUUACAACAAAUCAAAACCUUUUUUCACCAAAGUACCAUGGCAUUCAAAGUUGUAGACUUCAAAGAUUUUUCACCAGGUAGUGGACUUGUCUUCCAUCUUUUACCACUAGAUCAAAACUAUCUUCCUAACAACUCAGAUGGUGGAUACCUUGGAGUUAUUGACUCCAAAAAUGCGUUCAAUCAAUUUGUUGGUAUAGAGUUUGAUGGUGUUAGUCCAUGGGAUCCCAAAUACACUCAUGUUGGUAUAGACUGUAAAAAUUUGUAAUGUAGAACACCGCCGUUACCGGAGAGACAAAAAGGCUAUUUGUGAUAAAAAGAAAAACAAUAAAAAAAUGUAGUGUUUUUAGUGUGCCUAUUAUGUUGUGAUUAGACAUGCUUAUUGUUCAAAUCUCCUACGUAAGAUAAGCUUAUAGUGACAUCAUGUGUUUUUGUAUGAUAUAUGGUACCCUCAAUUGCAUAUAUAUGAUCCUGCAUAAGCCACACAUAAAAUAUUUAAUAAUGAUUCUUAAAAAUUGAUGCCCCUGAUGGCUUACAAAACGUUCACAGUCAUUAUUUAGCACUUUAAAUUCUCGUUCAAUGAAAUGCAAACUGUGAAGUAACUUAGGACAUACACUAAAUUUUGAUGUUGCAGCUACUGCCUGAAUGUUAUAUAUUAUCCUAUAAGAAGUCUAUAUAUAGGAUCUGCAACUGACAAGAGCAGCCUGCUAUAAUAUGAAGAUGAUAAUGCAUUUUGUCAUACUAAUCCAACCAGCUUGAUUUAAUAUGACAUGAACAGAUCCUAUAAUGCAUUUUAUCUUGUAUUUCAUUGUUGAAUUUCUCUAUUUGUCAUUCUUUUGCUUGUCGAGUGGUCCUGGAUUUUCCUUUCAUUUCUACAGCUUUUGUAAAAUUGUGUUGGUUGCCAUAAUUAGUGAGUUGUUGGUUUGGAACUACAAAAUUCUUUGUAAAAAAGUAAGUAUUUUUAUACAUGUCUGCUAUAUUCUUUCUCGUUUUCACAUUUUAUCUUUGUUGUAUUUUAUAUGUCAACGAACCUGCCGAUGAAAAGUUGUCUAAUUUUCAAGUAACACAUCACAUUUUGAUCACCACAAUCAAGAAUGUGAAAUUAGAGAUGUUGAGGAUGAUCCUUUCUUUAACACAUCACAUUUGCCUGAGGUUGAACUUACAUAUAAAAUUUCCGAUACGAGAAACGAUCACAAUGGUGGGAUUUGGAUCAAUCAAUCAUUUUGGGUAAAUAAAAAACUGAAAACUUUGAAUCUAAUUACAAUGAAGGGGAAAAAGCCAAUUUGCAAGAUGAUAUAGAUGAGGAAUUUCAAGAGGAAGACGUAGAUGAUGAAUUUCUUGAGGACGAAUUUCUUGAGGACAACUUAAGUGAUGAAUUUCAGAAGGAUGAUAUAGAUGAUGAAUUUCAAGAGGAUGACCUAGAUGAUGAAUUUGAAGUGGACGAUUUGGCUGAUGAAUUACAAGAUAAACUUGAAUGAUCGAGUUGGAUGGUGUUUUAUUUUGGAUUGUAGUUAAACCACUAAACUUGUCCGAACUAUAGUUUUGUUAUUUUGCCAGGCUUAUACUUCGAAGCAUUAAACUUAUCAAGUAAUGUUUGACAUUUUGAUUACUAUUAUGUCUUGAAUUAAUGUUUGAACUAUUUUAUUAUAUUACAUCUUUUGUGGUUGUAUUG